rnacentral:sRNA from 1 species
AACAACAACAACAACAACAACAACAACAACAACAACAACAACCACCUCAAUAAUAAUAAUAGCAUCAAGUGAAUGAUCAAUAGAUUAUAUUGCUCUUUGAUUCUUUCACUAUGAUAAAUAAAAUAUAAUAUGACUGUACAAUAAUGCAUCGGUCUCUGUGUCGUGUCUACCUUGUGCUAACCCUAAUACUUGUCAUGAUUCAAGGCACGCUAUACCUAAAGGGGGAAUUAGGCGUGAUGUCGCGCUCAUGGCUACAGCUCGCAUGCAUACGGAGUGUAGCUUGGGGUGAAUUAUAGAUCAACGUCGGGCUGGUGACAAAUUCUGCACCAUAAUCGACUUCAAAUAUACAGCUAUUUCAAUCUCGUUUUGCUCACACCAGCCCACUCAGUUUUCCGUUUCUCCCGAUAGCAUUUGGCUGGCACAACUUCUAGGAGUAUUUCGUACUAGCUGUCCUGUGCAGUCCGAACUUCUCGGCAACACGCCGUGCAACCGGAAACCGCUCUGAUACCCCCCGGUGUUCUAUCACGCCGUCGAGCUUUUGACUUCUCCAGGUAGCAUUGCGAUACUGCGCGGCAUUUUUACUUCCGAAUCCAACAGAUCUUAAAUACGAGGCGACCACCAGCUAUCUCCGGAGAUGGCAGACAAGAAACCGUCCGACAAAUCCGAGAGCAAAGAAGCGACUGUGGGAUUCAAAGCGGAUGUCAAGACACUUCAACUGCUCACCUCUUCCGCUGAAGCAUAUAAGAAUACGAGAAGGGAGAAUCAAGCUGAGAGUGCUAUGAAUCGUCUUGGUGAUGCAGUCGCGGACUUCUUCGGGGAAGAGAAAGAUAAUAGUAGUGGAGACAGGAAGGAAGGUGAAAGUAAAGGAAAAGAAAGGGAAUAAUAGCUAGUGAGACAGCAAAUAAGGAGAUUGAAUGUGAAGAUGCAUAGGUCCUAUCAGGGGUUUUCGAAUGCUUGUUGAAGCUGGAUGUCAUACUUUUCCUUAUCUGACACUUUGCGAUACGCCAGGAGCGGUCCGUCUUUUGCCCAGUAAAAAAGCAUAAUUGAUAUAAAAUCAUCAACAGAAUGCUUGAAAAAUAUAGGCUUGAUCCUGUCAUAAAAGAGAUUGUGGAGACCUGUAGGGCUAGAAAGUGCCAGUGUAUACCAAAAUGUGCCAGUAUUCCAGGAGCGGUUCAUGACAUCAGACAGUUUUGGUAUGGCUUUUUUGUUAACAACACAGUCCUGCAUUUGUGUCUCUUCAGCAGCCAGAAUAUUCAUAAACUCUUUUCGAGUUGCAUUGUAAUUCUCUGGGUCUACUUCGUCCACCCGCUUGCCUGACAGCCAGUAGGGAGGUGCAAUCAUCUCAACUGGAUGAGAGCAAGCCCACUCCAGAUCAAUUAGACAUGUGAUAUGCCAGUCUUCAUCAACCAAGAUAUUACUCUGAUGAAGAUCAGUCAAGUGAAAAACAAAAGGGCCGCGGCGG